GGACACUGAAAUUACAUUUCAAGUCUGGUUUCAUUUCUAUGAGACCAUGGAGGGUUGUUGUCACUGGGCCCACGCACACACUGAGGAAACCACAGCCCUCAAUUUCUUCAGAAGACACUGCUAAUUCACACGGCUCUAAUUGAGACCUACUUUCAGACACAUCAUCUGCUAUGAGACACCCUCCAAAGAAGCAUUUUGUAGCACAUUUUCCCAUCCUGAGGAAUUAAACAACGCAGAUAAAGAAUUUUGGGGAAGGUUUUGGGUUCACAGUGUAUGAGAGGCCACAUUACUUCACUGGAGCAACUUCUCUGGAUGACAGCCCUCAUCUGGAAGCACCAGCCCCAUCCUGUCAUGCCCAAAGCAAAAGAAUCAGAUUAAAACUAUUGGAAGAUGA